UGGCAAAAAUAGGAACAAGUAUGAGUAAAGAGAGAAAAAGAGAAGAGGCUGGAAAAGAGUGCCUUUUAUUUGUUUUUCUUUCUUUUUUCAAUUUGUUACUUUGCUUUGUUGCAUACU
rnacentral:ribozyme from 1 species